rnacentral:rRNA from 1 species
GAUGAACGCUGGCGGCGUGCCUAAUACAUGCAAGUCGAGCGAACAGACGAGGAGCUUGCUCCUCUGACGUUAGCGGCGGACGGGUGAGUAACACGUGGAUAACCUACCUAUAAGACUGGGAUAACUUCGGGAAACCGGAGCUAAUACAGGAUAAUAUAUUGAACCGCAUGGUUCAAUAGUGAAAGACGGUUUUGCUGUCACUUAUGGAUGGAUCCGCGCCGCAUUAGCUAGUUGGUAAGGUAACGGCUUACCAAGGCAACGAUGCGUAGCCGACCUGAGAGGGUGAUCGGCCACACUGGAACUGAGACACGGUCCAGACUCCUACGGGAGGCAGCAGUAGGGAAUCUUCCGCAAUGGGCGAAAGCCUGACGGAGCAACGCCGCGUGAGUGAUGAAGGUCUUCGGAUCGUAAAGCUCUGUUAUUAGGGAAGAACAAAUGUGUAAGUAACUAUGCACGUCUUGACGGUACCUAAUCAGAAAGCCACGGCUAACUACGUG